rnacentral:rRNA from 1 species
UUACUGGGCUUAAAGAGUUCGUAGGUGGUUGAAAAAGUUGGUGGUGAAAUCCCAGAGCUUAACUCUGGAACUGCCAUCAAAACUUUUCAGCUAGAGUAUGAUAGAGGAAAGCAGAAUUUCUAGUGUAGAGGUGAAAUUCGUAGAUAUUAGAAAGAAUACCAAUUGCGAAGGCAGCUUUCUGGAUCAUUACUGACACUGAGGAACGAAAGCAUGGGUAGCGAAGAGGAUUAGAUACCCUCGUAGUCCAUGCCGUAAACGAUGUGUGUUAGACGUUGGAAAUUUAUUUUCAGUGUCGCAGCGAAAGCGAUAAACACACCGCCUGGGGAGUACGACCGCAAGGUUAAAACUCAAAUGAAUUGACGGGGACCCGCACAAGUAGUGGAGCAUGUGGUUUAAUUCGAAGAUACGCGCAGAACCUUACCAACACUUGACAUGUUCGUCGCGACUUUAAGAGAUUAAAGUUUUCGGUUCGGCCGGACGAAACACAGGUGCUGCAUGGCUGUCGUCAGCUCGUGUCGUGAGAUGUUGGGUUAAGUCCCGCAACGAGCGCAACCCUCACUUUUAGUUGCCAUCAUUAGGUUGGGCACUCUGAAAGAACUGCCAGUGAUAAGCUGGAGGAAGGUGGGGAUGACGUCAAGUCCUCAUGGCCCUUACGUGUUGGGCUACACACGUGCUACAAUGGUAUCUACAACAGGAAGCAAGACGGUGACGUUAAGCAAAUCCUUAAAAGAUACCUCAGUUCGGAUUGCACUCUGCAACUCGAGUGCAUGAAGCUGGAAUUACUAGUAAUCGUGGAUCAGCGUGCCACGGUGAAUGCGUUCCCGGGUCUUGUACACACCGCCCGUCACACCAUGGGAGUUGGUUCUACCUUAAGGCAAGGUUUAAAACCCUUGACCACGGUAUAGUCAGCGACUGGGGUGAAGUCGUA